rnacentral:rRNA from 1 species
GAUGAACGCUGGCGGCGUGCCUAAUACAUGCAAGUCGAGCGAACGGACGAGAAGCUUGCUUCUCUGAUGUUAGCGGCGGACGGGUGAGUAACACGUGGAUAACCUACCUAUAAGACUGGGAGAACUUCGGGAAACCGGAGCUAAUACCGGCUGAUAUUUUGAACCGCAUGGUUCAAAAGUGAAAGACGGUCUUGCUGUCACUUAUAGAUGAAUCCGCGCUGCAUUAGCUAGUUGGUAAGGUAACGGCUUACCAAGGCAACGAUGCAUAGCCGACCUGAGAGGGUGAUCGGCCACACUGGAACUGAGACACGGUCCAGACUCCUACGGGAGGCAGCAGUAGGGAAUCUUGCGCAAUGGGCGAAAGCCUGACGGAGCAACGCCGCGUGAGUGAUGAAGGUCUUCGGAUCGUAAAACUCUGUUAUUAGGGAAGAACAUAUGUGUAAGUAACUGUGCACAUCUUGACGGUACCUAAUCAGAAAGCCACGGCUAACUACGUG